UACGAAGGGUGCAAACGUUGCUCGGAAUUAUUGGGCGUAAAGCGCACGUGGGCGGCUUAGCAAGUCGGAAGUGAAAUCCCUCGGCUCAACCAAGGAAGUGCUUUCGAAACUGCUGAGCUUGAGUACGAAAGAGGAUCGCGGAAUUCCCGGUGUAGAGGUGAAAUGCGCAGAUAUCAGGAGGAACACCGGUGGCGAAGGCGGGUCUCUGGGCCGAUACUGACGCUGAGGAGCGAAAGCGUGGGGAGCGAACAGG
rnacentral:rRNA from 1 species